GACGAACGCUGGCGGCGUGCCUAACACAUGCAAGUCGAGCGAGAAUCUUUCAAAUGAUCCCUUCGGGGUGAUUUUGGAAGAGGAAAGCGGCGGACGGGUGAGUAACGCGUGAGUAACCUGCCCUUUGGAGGGGGACAACAUUCCGAAAGGAAUGCUAAUACCGCAUAACAUAUAUUUAAGGCAUCUUAGAUAUAUCAAAGAUUUAUCGCCAAAGGAUGGACUCGCGUCUGAUUAGCUAGUUGGUGGGGUAAAGGCCUACCAAGGCGACGAUCAGUAGCCGAACUGAGAGGUUGAUCGGCCACAUUGGGACUGAGACACGGCCCAGACUCCUACGGGAGGCAGCAGUGGGGGAUAUUGCGCAAUGGGGGGCAACCCUGACGCAGCAACGCCGCGUGAAGGAAGAAGGUUUUCGGAUCGUAAACUUCUUUAAGUGGGGAAGAUAGUGACGGUACCCACAGAAUAAGCCACGGGCUAACUACGUG
rnacentral:rRNA from 1 species